rnacentral:lncRNA from 1 species
AAUGUCAUAUUUUAAAUGCGAAAUUUUAAUUUUGUAUUUUUUUAUUUUAGUAUUCUAUAAUUUAAAAUUUAUCAAUUUAGUGUUAUAUAAUUUUAUUUUUAUUUUUUAUUUUUUCUCCACUAAUUUUUUUAUUAAAUCAGUGAUAAAGUUAGUGAAUAUUCAAUAAACUUAGGUGAGAUAUCUGAAAUUUUUUGUAUAUAAUUUAACGAAAUGUUAACGAAAAAGUUGACGAAAAGGGAAAAAGAAAACCACGAGAUACUAAAUUGAUACACUUUAAAUCACAAGUUAUUAAAGUGAGAAAGUGCGAAAUCACAAGAGUGAUAUUUGAAAUUUACAGUUUGAGUUUCUUGGCAUUGUUGAUUUCCACUUUUUUCUGCUUUUACACCACAACAGAAUUAGCUUAUAGGGACACAUGUUUGGAACACUUUUGAGUAAGUGUCCCAUUUAUCCUAAAACUUAAAAAAAUAUCUACUAAUGUCUAAAUACAAAGCCCAAUCCAACCAAAAAUAAAAGAUUACUCUACUCAACCCACCACACCCAGUCUAUUUGGCCCGAUUACAAACAGAAAAGAAAAAAAAAAAGAAAAAUCAAUUACCAUCUUUUCUUCUCUCUUCACUCAGUCCACUGAAAUUCUAGACGAAGAACCUUUCCUAUCGUCCUCCUCCGCCACCGCAGCCAACGAGAUAGAGUUUCGGCGGUUGCUAAAUGCUUAAAUAAGUGUUGGUGAAUUAACAGCGCUCUUUUAGGUUAUAGCGACACUCUUUAACUGUCACUAUAUACCUAGCGACCCCACAUAUAGCAACACUUUUUAAAAAUGUCGGUAAUUUUAGCUAGCAAUAUUUUUUUAACAUGUAUCUAUAUUUAAAAGUGUCGCUAUAGACCGUUUUUAUUAUAGUGGCUACUCCAAAUAGCUCUUGAAUAGAUAUAAAUCCUACACUAU